rnacentral:rRNA from 1 species
GGUCAAUGGAGGGAACUCUGAACCAGCCAUCCCGCGUGUAGGAAGACGGCCUUAUGGGUUGUAAACUACUUUUAUACAGGAAGAAACGUACCCUCGUGAGGGUGCCUGACGGUACUGUAGGAAUAAGCACCGGCUAACUCCGUGCCAGCAGCCGCGGUAAUACGGAGGGUGCGAGCGUUAUCCGGAUUUAUGGGUUUAAAGGGUCCGUAGGCGGAUUAAUAAGUCAGUGGUGAAAUCCCAUCGCUUAACGAUGGAACUGCCAUUGAUACUGUUAGUCUUGAAUGAGGGUGCAGUGGUUGGAAUGUGUAGUGUAGCGGUGAAAUGCAUAGAUAUUACACAGAACACCGAUUGCGAAGGCAGAUCACUAACCCUAAAUUGACGCUGAGGGACGAAAGCGUGGGGAGCGAACAGGAUUAGAUACCCUGGUAG